GUUUGGCCUGCUCACUGAUAAUUCUAAAGAGCCGCGGUAUUUUGACCGUGCAAAGGUAGCAUAAUCAUUAGUCUCUUAAUUAGAGGCUGGAAUGAAUGGUUUGACGAGAAAUUAACUGUCUCUUAAUAAUUUUUAAAAUUUAACUUUUGAGUUAAAAGGCUUAAAUUUUUCUUUAGGACGAGAAGACCCUAUAGAGCUUGACAUUUUAAUUUUAUAUUUUUUUAAGAUAGUCUUUUUGUAUUUAAUGAUGAUGUUUUGUUGGGGUG
rnacentral:rRNA from 1 species